CGGUACAUCGGUGACAGGUGGUGCAUGGCUGUCGUCAGCUCGUGUUGUGAAAUGUUGGGUUAAGUCCCGCAACGAGCGCAACCCUUAUCCUUUGUUGCCAGCGGUCCGGCCGGGAACUCAAAGGAGACUGCCAGUGAUAAACUGGAGGAAGGUGGGAUGACGUCAAGUCAUCAUGGCCCUUACGACCAGGGCUACACACGUGCUACAAUGGCGCAUACAAAGAGAAGCGACCUCGCGAGAGCAAGCGGACCUCAUAAAGUGCGUCGUAGUCCGGAUUGGAGUCUGCAACUCGACUCCAUGAAGUCGGAAUCGCUAGUAAUCGUGGAUCAGAAUGCCACGGUCGAAUACGUUCCGGCCUU
rnacentral:rRNA from 1 species